rnacentral:lncRNA from 1 species
AUAAAAUUGGACAUGUACAGUUUAUACAAUUUCUGCUUUGGCAUAAAAAUCAUUCACCUUAGAACAAAUCAAAACAAAGCAAAAGUCUGACAGUCAUAACCUCACAUUUCAAAAACUCUUACUCACAAAAAUGAAGCUGUCAAUGUAUUUUAUAUGUGUUUCACAUGAAAAAUUGGUAUUAUUUCUUGAAAAUAAAGGAAUUCAAGAAACUCAGCAUCAACUACAGAAUAGGCACAUUAUGUGGUAAAAUUAAGACUGUGGAAUUGAUUUAUUAGUGCAUAAUAAAACUAGAGCAAUACUUGUUCUUUUCCUAACUCCAGGGAAUGUGUUUUUAAAAGCUCCCAAACUCCCAACUCAACUUGUUUGUAAAGCAAUUUAAUUGUAAAAUACAAGAUUAUUUAAAGGAAUCUGACAAUAUGAGCCUUUUUUUCAGGUAAAUCCAAGUAUAUUGACAAGUCACUAAAACAUUAAUGCCAUAGGAAAAUGUACUCUGGAGAUCUGCUUUUUGCUAAUAAGGUGAAUGAAGUACUAUAUAUAAUUUCAGGAUUCUACCCAAUUGUAUUCAGGUGUAGGUAAAAGCUUUGGUGUGUAGGUGCAUGGUGCUUGGCAUACAUACAACCUCCUUAUUCAUCUAGCUUCUCUUGCCUAUCUCUUGCCUGUCCUUGAUCCUCACUUACUGUCAAGUGUGCAGGAAGUUUCUAAGCACAGUAUGAUUGCAACCACUAAUCUCACCAAACACGCUUCCUUAGAUAGGCUGGUAAGGAGAAAAUGGGCACAAAUGAAUUUAGAUGGUUAAUUAAUUAUGACCCAGGAGAGGAGCAUGAGUUUUAUUCACUGCAUUUAUUUUUGCCCAAGUUCCUUUGGGGUGACGCAGAGGUGGGACUUGGUAGUAGUUCCACAUAUGGUGUGUCUGUGCCACCAGUAAGAAACUCUGAGCUCAGAAAAUUCCUAAUUCAAAGAGGCUACAAACAAAAUGUGUCCAUUCCUCCCUAUGGAAAAAAU